rnacentral:rRNA from 1 species
UACGAAGGGUGCAAGCGUUACUCGGAAUUACUGGGCGUAAAGCGUGCGUAGGUGGUUCGUUAAGUCUGUCGUGAAAGCCCCGGGCUCAACCUGGGAAUGGCGAUGGAUACUGGCGGGCUAGAGUGCGGUAGAGGGUGGUGGAAUUCCCGGUGUAGCAGUGAAAUGCGUAGAGAUCGGGAGGAACAUCAGUUGCGAAGGCGGCCACCUGGACCAGCACUGACACUGAGGCACGAAAGCCAGGGGAGCGAACGGG